rnacentral:rRNA from 1 species
GGGCUAGCGUUGCUCGGAAUGACUGGGCGUAAAGGGCGCGUAGGCGGCGGACACAGUCAGAUGUGAAAUUCCCGGGCUCAACCUGGGGGCUGCAUUUGAUACGUGUUUGCUUGAGUGGGGAAGAGGGUCGUGGAAUUCCCAGUGUAGAGGUGAAAUUCGUAGAUAUUGGGAAGAACACCGGUGGCGAAGGCGGCGACCUGGUCCUUGACUGACGCUGAGGCGCGAAAGCGUGGGGAGCAAACAGG